rnacentral:rRNA from 1 species
UACGUAGGGUGCGAGCGUUGUCCGGAAUUAUUGGGCGUAAAGAGCUCGUAGGCGGUGUGUCGCGUCGGCCGUGAAAACCUGGGGCUUAACUCUGGGCGUGCGGUCGAUACGGGCAUCACUAGAGUUCGGCAGGGGAGACUGGAAUUCCUGGUGUAGCGGUGAAAUGCGCAGAUAUCAGGAGGAACACCGGUGGCGAAGGCAGGUCUCUGGGCCGAUACUGACGCUGAGGAGCGAAAGCGUGGGGAGCGAACAGG